rnacentral:lncRNA from 1 species
UCAAGCAAUAUGUUUAUAGACUUGACAUCACGAUGUAUAACUGCGCUGGUAUGAAGGUAGUGCAGACCUCUGGCUGCACUACAAAAAAAUGUUUAAUUUGUGACGGUUAACUUGUGUGAGUUUUUAGAAAUUCCACUUGCAAUUUAUUUUAUGACGUUUUAUUUUGACCCCCACAAUAUAAAACUUUUUGUGGUGAUUUUAUUAAAGAGGUUAGAAAGCCCCACAAUUUAAUAUUGUUUGUGGCGAUUAUCAACCCCCCAAAAUUUAUUAAAUUCGUUUUAUAUAUAUAUAAACAAAACUCGUAUGCCAAAUCAAUAGUCAUAUGCAUUUAUAUUUAUUUUGUUUGUAUUUUAACUUUAUUUAAGCUUUUAUAGUACUAGUUGAUUUUUAAGGUGAAACAUUUUAAUUAUUAGUUAUUGCAAAUUAAUAAAAAAAAAAAAAAUUGUUCUAUGCACUAAAAAAAUUAUUUUAUCUUUUAUUUGGACCCAACUCAACCAAAUUUUAAUACCUCUCUUACCAAAAUAUUUAAAAAGCCUAAAGACUAUAAUUAAUCCCCCUAAAACCUUUCAAAUCCUAUCAAAUAUGAAAUAACCACCCCUCCUUCCCACAAUCCCACCCAUUCCCACGUAAAACACACACACACACCCCAGUUCUUUUUCCCAUUAACUCAUAUCUUUUUCCCCUUUAAUGCAUUUCUCUUCCGUAACCCCCUCCCCUCUCCUUUUUCCUUUUGCCUCUCACUCUUCUUUAUUUUGUUUUUUGUUUCAUUUUUUAUGUGUGUGAAUUUGCUAAUUACUUUUUCUUUUAAUGUAGGCUUUGCAAAGUGAAAUAAAUGGUAAAUAUUUUUUUAUAAUAUAAAGGUAAUUCUCUAUUAGGCGAGUUCGAUGAUUCAUAUUAGAAUUUAAAAGUUAUAUUAUUCUUUAAUUUAUAGGUAUUUUGUGUUUUGCAAGUUGUUAAACUUAAUGUAUCAAUAUUCUUACAUAUUGAAGGAUUUGUUCAAAUUCUCACCACAUCGUAUAGUCAUCCAUACUUAAUCUUUGAUUGAUUUAUGGUAAGUCUCAAUUUUGUUUUUGUUUAGCUAAGGAUCAUGCAAUCAUUUUAUUCUUGAUUGGAUUUGACUAUUACAAAUUAAACGACGAUUUUGCAUAUGAAAUUGUGAUAUAUAUCAAUAUAACUUUUUCAAUACGGUAAAUUGUUGAAGUUAUAAUUAUCUUUUUUGGCAAGUGAAAGAAAAAAAAUAAGGUCAAGGAAGAAAGUCUAACUUAAAAAUUAUCAAAAGUGAGAAAUAUUUGAACCAACGUGUUAAAUCGAAUGUAUCUUUAUAUGAUUUUGAAAAACAAAAUUUUAGUUUGUGCUUAUGUAGGAACAAUCAUGAAGUUGUUAUUAUUCACAUUAUUAGGGUAUAUGAGAGAACAUAAAAUACAUAAUCUUAUAAUUUGUUGUCAAAUCAAAGCUCUAUAUGAAUUUAUUUUUGAAAUGAAUUGAUUUUUAUUUUUUUUAUCAAGAUGUAUGAAGAUAUAUGAAUCAAUAUAUGUUUAUCUAAUUGUGUAUAAUAUUUUCAUUGUUUCAGCCUGAUGCGGAGAUUGGGCUUAUUUCACUUUAAAUAAAAAGAUUGGAUGACAACAACUUAUUUCACCAAAUAAAUGCAAGCUAUAGAAUUUUUUUUGUAUUUAUUUUGAUGUGGAUUUUAUAGGAUUUGAAAAUUGAAUGUUGAAGUUAUUAUACAAAAGAUUGUAUUAUUUUUAUUUGACAUAAUUUGAAUUUGUGAAGCUUAUUAUUAAAAAUUUAUUUAAUGUAAUUUGAUUUUCUUUAAAUAUGUUAUUUAGUAAAAUUAUCCAUUAUUUUGAAGGCUUGAUGUAAAUCAAAUUCCACAUUUAUUAUUAAAAUAAUAAUAAUAAUUUUGUAAGACUCCACAAAUAUCUCUCUCUCUCUCUCUCUCUCUAUAUAUAUAUAUAUAUAUAUAUAAAGCUGAAUCUAAGCAAUUCUACGUGGCACCUCUCUAUGGUCACCAUUCUUUUUUUUUCUCUCAAUUUUUGGAAUUUUUUUUAUUCAUUUCAAUAAUCUAUUAAAUACCUCUAAUGCAUUAUUAACCUACAAUUAAAGAGGAUAAUGAAAAGUUUAAACAUAAAGAAUAUCUUUAUUGUUGCAAUAGAGAAUGAAGAGUUGUAACGGAUGUCAAGAACUUAUUGCAAUCAACCAAUUUAAAAUCUAUAUAUAAAAAAAAGAAGGUAAAAUAGCACAUAAUCUGAACCAUGUAAUCUGAAGGUAAAUUGAAUUUUUAAAAGCUUCAUUGUCUCAGAUAAAUCAAAUUUUUGAUUUGUUUUUAUAUAAAAUUAGGCAGGAAAUCUAUGUAUAUAUAUAAUAAUAAUAAUAAUAAUAAUAAUAAUAAUAAUAAUAAUAAUAAUAAUAAUAAUAAUAAUAAUAAUAAUAAUAAUAAUAAUAAUAAUAAUAAUAAUAAUAAUAAUAAUAAUAAUAAUAAUAAUAAUAAUAAUAAUAAUAAUAAUAAUAAUAAUAAUAAUAAUAAUAAUAAUAAUAAUAAUAAUAAUAAUAAUAAUAAUAAUAAUAAUAAUAAUAAUAAUAAUAAUAAUAAUAAUAAUAAUAAUAAUAAUAAUAAUAAUAAUAAUAAUAAUAAUAAUAAUAAUAAUAAUAAUAAUAAUAAUAAUAAUAAUAAUAAUAAUAAUAAUAAUAAUAAUAAUAAUAAUAAUAAUAAUAAUAAUAAUAAUAAUAAUAAUAAUAAUAAUAAUAAUAAUAAUAAUAAUAAUAAUAAUAAUAAUAAUAAUAAUAAUAAUAAUAAUAAUAAUAAUAAUAAUAAUAAUAAUAAUAAUAAUAAUAAUAAUAAUAAUAAUAAUAAUAAUAAUAAUAAUAAUAAUAAUAAUAAUAAUAAUAAAGCUAAAUAUAAUCUAGGUGAUGUGACACCUCUCAAUGGCCACCAUUCACAUUUAUUAUUUUUUUCUCAUUUUUUGAAUUUUCUUAUUUAUUCCAUAUUUAUAUGCUAUAUUAAAAGGUUAAAAAUAACUUUAAAAUUAUAUUUUCUUAAUUACACCUCCCUCAUUUACUCUUCUAUAUUUUCAUAAUUUUUUUCAGUUUAUGAAAUCCAAAGCCAAUCACUAAUCCUCUAAUUAAUAACUCCACCUCAUUGGUUACUCUACAGAAUAAAAGAAUUUUUUUUAUCUUCCUUGGGAUUAAUUCUCAUGACUUCACCUAUCACUAUAUAAGUAUCAGAAAUACAUGCCACAUUUGACAAAAAUUGCUAUCAUCUCAAUGAUUUAGGGUNNNNNNNNNNNNNNNNNNNNNNNNNNNNNNNNNNNNNNNNNNNNNNNNNNNNNNNNNNNNNNNNNNNNNNNNNNNNNNNNNNNNNNNNNNNNNNNNNNNNNNNNNNNNNNNNNNNNNNNNNNNNNNNNNNNNNNNNNNNNNNNNNNNNNNNNNNNNNNNNNNNNNNNNNNNNNNNNNNNNNNNNNNNNNNNNNNNNNNNNNNNNNNNNNNNNNNNNNNNNNNNNNNNNNNNNNNNNNNNNNNNNNNNNNNNNNNNNNNNNNNNNNNNNNNNNNNNNNNNNNNNNNNNNNNNNNNNNNNNNNNNNNNNNNNNNNNNNNNNNNNNNNNNNNNNNNNNNNNNNNNNNNNNNNNNNNNNNNNNNNNNNNNNNNNNNNNNNNNNNNNNNNNNNNNNNNNNNNNNNNNNNNNNNNNNNNNNNNNNNNNNNNNNNNNNNNNNNNNNNNNNNNNNNNNNNNNNNNNNNNNNNNNNNNNNNNNNNNNNNNNNNNNNNNNNNNNNNNNNNNNNNNNNNNNNNNNNNNNNNNNNNNNNNNNNNNNNNNNNNNNNNNNNNNNNNNNNNNNNNNNNNNNNNNNNNNNNNNNNNNNNNNNNNNNNNNNNNNNNNNNNNNNNNNNNNNNNNNNNNNNNNNNNNNNNNNNNNNNNNNNNNNNNNNNNNNNNNNNNNNNNNNNNNNNNNNNNNNNNNNNNNNNNNNNNNNNNNNNNNNNNNNNNNNNNNNNNNNNNNNNNNNNNNNNNNNNNNNNNNNNNNNNNNNNNNNNNNNNNNNNNNNNNNNNNNNNNNNNNNNNNNNNNNNNNNNNNNNNNNNNNNNNNNNNNNNNNNNNNNNNNNNNNNNNNNNNNNNNNNNNNNNNNNNNNNNNNNNNNNNNNNNNNNNNNNNNNNNNNNNNNNNNNNNNNNNNNNNNNNNNNNNNNNNNNNNNNNNNNNNNNNNNNNNNNNNNNNNNNNNNNNNNNNNNNNNNNNNNNNNNNNNNNNNNNNNNNNNNNNNNNNNNNNNNNNNNNNNNNNNNNNNNNNNNNNNNNNNNNNNNNNNNNNNNNNNNNNNNNNNNNNNNNNNNNNNNNNNNNNNNNNNNNNNNNNNNNNNNNNNNNNNNNNNNNNNNNNNNNNNNNNNNNNNNNNNNNNNNNNNNNNNNNNNNNNNNNNNNNNNNNNNNNNNNNNNNNNNNNNNNNNNNNNNNNNNNNNNNNNNNAAAAAAAUAAGGUCAAGGAAGAAAGUCUAACUUAAAAAUUAUCAAAAGUGAGAAAUAUUUGAACCAACGUGUUAAAUCGAAUGUAUCUUUAUAUGAUUUUGAAAAACAAAAUUUUAGUUUGUGCUUAUGUAGGAACAAUCAUGAAGUUGUUAUUAUUCACAUUAUUAGGGUAUAUGAGAGAACAUCAAAUAGAUAAUCUUAUAAUUUGUUGUCAAAUCAAAGCUCGAUAUGAAUUUUUUUUAAAAUGAAUUGAUUUUUUUAUCAACAUGUAUGAAGAUAUACGUAUCAAUAUAUGCUUAUCUAAUUAUGUAUAAUAUUUUCGUUGUUUCCGCCUAAUGAGGAGAUUGAGCUUAUUUUACGUUGGAUAAAAAGAUUGGAUGACAACAACUUAUUUCACCAAAUAAAUGCAAGCUAUAGAAUUUUUUUUGUAUUUAUUUUGAUGUGGAUUUUAUAGGAUUUGAAAAUUGAAUGUUGAAGUUAUUAUACAAAAGUUUGUAUUAUUUUUAUUUGACAUAUUUUGAAUUUGUGAAGCUUAUUAUUACAAAUUUGUUUAAUAUAAUUUGAUUUGCUUUAAAUGUGUUAUUUAGUAAAAUUAUUCAUUAUUUUGAAGGCUUGAUGUAAAUCAAAUUCCACAUUUAUUAUUAAAAUAAUAAUAAUAAUUUUGUAAGACUCCACAAAUAUCUCUCUCUCUCUCUCUCUCUCUAUAUAUAUAUAUAUAUAUAUAUAAAGCUGAAUCUAAGCAAUUCUACGUGGCACCUCUCUAUGGUCACCAUUCUUUUUUUUUCUCUCAAUUUUUGGAAUUUUUUUUAUUCAUUUCAAUAAUCUAUUAAAUACCUCUAAUGCAUUAUUAACCUACAAUUAAAGAGGAUAAUGAAAAGUUUAAACAUAAAGAAUAUCUUUAUUGUUGCAAUAGAGAAUGAAGAGUUGUAACGGAUGUCAAGAACUUAUUGCAAUCAACCAAUUUAAAAUCUAUAUAUAAAAAAAAGAAGGUAAAAUAGCACAUAAUCUGAACCAUGUAAUCUGAAGGUAAAUUGAAUUUUUAAAAGCUUCAUUGUCUCAGAUAAAUCAAAUUUUUGAUUUGUUUUUAUAUAAAAUUAGGCAGGAAAUCUAUGUAUAUAUAUAAUAAUAAUAAUAAUAAUAAUAAUAAUAAUAAAGCUAAAUAUAAUCUAGGUGAUGUGACACCUCUCAAUGGCCACCAUUCACAUUUAUUAUUUUUUUCUCAUUUUUUGAAUUUUCUUAUUUAUUCCAUAUUUAUAUGCUAUAUUAAAAGGUUAAAAAUAACUUUAAAAUUAUAUUUUCUUAAUUACACCUCCCUCAUUUACUCUUCUUUAUUUUUCAUAAUUUUUUUCUAGUUUAUGAAAUCCAAAAGCCUAUCAUUAAUCCUCUAAUUAAUAACUCCACCUCAUUGGUUACUCUACAGAAUAAAAGAAUUUUUUUUAUCUUCCUUGGGAUUAAUUCUCAUGACUUCACCUAUCACUAUAUAAGUAUCAGAAAUACAUGCCACAUUUGACAAAAAUUGCUAUCAUCUCAAUGAUUUAGGGUGUUAUGGUUAAAUAUUUAUGUUUUAAUAAAAAAAAAUUAUGUAUAAAUUUUCAUAUUUUACAUGAAAUAAUUAGUUUCUAACACAUGGAGUCCAACUUCUUAUUUUACAGGUAAAUGUUUAAAGAAACAUGUUAGAGGAGCGCAAGAUGGAUCAAGAUUCGAGACUAAGGAAAGGAGCGCUUCUUAUCAAUAUUAGAGAAGUGAUGCACCUUUUUUUUAAAUCAAUUUUAUUUAUUUAUUGUAUAUUAUUUUCUCCAAUUCUAUUUGCUUAUUAUGGUACAAAAAUAAAUAUGUCAAUUAGUAUUUCAUCCUCCCAUUUCUUAUAUGUAAAGGAGAAACAUAGAUGAGGUGUCUCUCUUUUUAGGCAUUUUUUCUUAUUUAAUCAAUUAUUUUAUUGUAAAGGUAAUUACUUAAUUUAUUGUACACAAAUAUUUUAUUUGUAGAGGAACAAUUAUAACAAAAACUCUCCAUAUGUCUAUUUACAAGGACUAAAAAAUAUCUAUAAUUCACAUAUCUCUAAUUUUCACACUUAAAAAUUUUAAUAUUUUUUUUACCUUCUCCGAAUUACAAAAUGACAAUGAUCUUAAUAUUUUAAAUUCAUCUCUCUUAUUAUUUAAUUUACAUACAAUCAAUCUAUAUAUCUAUAUGUAUAAUCUAUAUCUAUAUAUUAGAAUAUAAAAAUUAUCUCUUAAUUAUAUAUUUUUUCUAUUUAUGUAUUUUAAUUAUUGUACAAAAAUGAAUAUGUCAAUUACUACUCCUUCAUUUAUUCAUAUUCUUUAAUAUAAAAACUUAAUAAUCUUUAAUUUCAUUACUCCUAUAUAAUGUGUUAUGUUUAUAAAAAAAACACUCCUUUAAUUUUCUUAAUUUAUGUUACAUAUGCUAUGUUAGAAAAUUAAUUUUCUUUAACUCAUCUCUAAUUUUCACACUUAAAAAUUUUAAUAUUUUUUUUACCUUCUCCGAAUUACAAAAUGACAAUGAUCCCAUUCAAGCUAAUUGUUGCUCUUAAAUAACCUAUAAAUGGGUUUUUUAAAAUUUCAGUUUUUUUUAAUCUUUGGUUAUCUAUCAUAACUAUCUAUUUUAAAGACCUUUCUUAACCAUUAUUGUCAUAAUUACAUACUUAUAGUGACUAUGUAUAGCACCAAAAUGAUGUCUUUCACUAUUUUUUAUCCCCAUGUGAUGAGUAACAGAUUUUAUGUAUAACACCAAUAUUCUUCUUAUUGCAUUAUCAUAAUUCAUAUUGUUUAAAAUUUAAUUGUAGGUUUGAUUUAGUUUUCAAAAUUAAAGAUAGACUUGUACGUUUGUAUUAUCUUUUCGAACAAAAAAUAAAGAGCAAAAUAAACUUUUUGAUUAUUUAUAAUAUUGAGGUACUAGAUAAACCACCUCUCUAUGGCCACCAUUCUUACUUAUUUUUUUUCUCAAUUUUUUGAAUUUUUUUUAUUCAUUUCAAUAAUCUAUUAAAUACCUCUAAUGCAUCAUUAACCUAUAAUUAAAGAGGAUAAUGAAAAGUUUUAAUAGAGAAUGAUGAGUUGUAACGGUUGUCAAGAACUUAUUGCAAUCAACCAAUUAAAAAUCUAUGUAAAAAAAUAGGGAGAAUAGCACAUAAUCUGAACCAUGUAAUCUGAAGAUAAAUUGACAAAAUGGAAGAAUCUUUGUAUGAGAAGAUGUACUACUCAAGGUAAAUUGAAAUUUUAAAAGCUUCAUUGUCUUAGAUAAAUCGAAUUUUUGAUUUGUUUGUAUAUAAAAUUAGGCAGGAAAUCUAUAUGUCUAUAUAUAUAAUAAAACUAAAUAUAAUCUAGGAGAUGUGACACCUUCAAUGGCCAUCAUUCACAUUUAUUUAUUUUUCUCAUUUUUUUGAAUUUUCUUAUUUAUUCUCUAUUUAUAUGCUAUAUUAAAAGGUUAAAAAUAACUUUAAAAUUAUAUUUUCUUAAUUACACCUCCCUCAUUUACUCUUCUUUAUUUUUCAUAAUUUUUUUCAGUUUAUGAAAUCCAAAAGCCUAUCAUUAAUCCUCUAAUUAAUAACUCAACCUAAAUGGUUACUCUACAAAAUAAAAGGAUUUUUUUUAUCUUCCUUGGGAUUAAUUCUCAUGACUUCACCUAUCACUAUAUAAGUAUCAGAAAUACAUGCCACAUUUUGACAAAAAUUGCUAUCAUCUCAAUGAUUUAGGGUUUUAUGGUUAAAUAUUUAUGUUUUAAUAAAAAAAAUAUGUAUAAAUUUUCAUAUUUUACACGGACUAAUUAGUUUCUAACAUAAGGAGUCCAACUUCUUAUUUUACAUGUAAAUGUUUAAAGGAGCAUGUUAGAGGAGCGCAAGAUGGAUCAAGAUUCGAGACUAAGGAAAGGAGAGCUUCUUAUCAAUAUUAGAGAAGUGAUGCACCUUAUUGUUAAAUUAAUUUUAUUUAUUUAUUUUAUAUUUUUUCUACAAUUCUAUUUGCUUACUAUUGUACAAAAAUAAAUAUGUCAAUUAGUAUUUCAUCCUCCCAUUUCUUAUAUGUAAAGGAGAAACAUAGAGGAGGUGUCUCUCUUUUUAGGCAUUUUUUCUUAUUUAAUCAAUUAUUUUAUUGUAAAAGUAAUUACUUAAUUUAUUGUACACAAAUAUUUAUUAGUAGAGGAACAAUUAUAACAAAAACUCUCCAUAUGUCUAUUUACAAGGACUAAAAUAUAUCUAUAAUUCACAUCUCUCUAAUUUUCACUCUUAAAAUUUUAAUAUUUUUUUACCUUCUCCGAAUUACAAAAUGACAAUGAUCUUAAUAUUUUAAAUUCAUCUCUCUUUAUUAUUUAAUUUACUUACAAUCAAUCUAUAUAUCUAUAUGUAUAAUCUAUAUCUAUUUAUUAGAAUAUAAAACUUAUCUCUUAAUUUUAUAUAUAUAUAUAUAUGUAUAUAUAUAUUUUAUUUAUGUAUUUUAAUUAUUGUACAGAAAUGAAUAUGUCAAUUACUACUCCUUCAUUUAUUCAUAUUCUUUAAUAUAAAAACUUAAUAAUCUUUAUUUUCAUUACUCCUAUAUAAUGUGUUAUGUUCAUAAAAAAAACAGUCCUUUAAUUUUCUUAAUUUAUGUUACAUAUGCUAUGUUAGAAAUUAAUUUUCUUUAACUCUUUUAAUUAUGAGAAAAACUCAAAAGUCCCUUAGUUAAUUAAUAUUUUCCCACGCUAUUGCAUUCAUCCCAUUCAAGCUAAUUGUUGCUCUUAAAUAACCUAUAAAUGGGUUCUUUUAAAAUUUCUAGUUUUUUUUUAAUCUUUGGUUAUCUAUCAUAAUUAUCUAUUUUAAAGACCUUUCUUAAUCAUUAUUGUCAUAAAUACAUACUUAUAGUGAAUAUGUAUAGCACCAAAAUGAUGUCUUUCAUUAUUUUUUAUCCCAAUGUGAUGAGUAACAGAUUUUAUGUAUAACACCAAUAUUCUUCUUAUUGCGUUAUCGUAAUUCAUAUUGUUUAAAAUUUAAUUGUAGGUUUGAUUUAGUUUUCAAAAUUAAAGAUAGACUUGUACGUCUGUAUUAUCUUUUCGAACAAAAAAUAAAGAGCAAAAUAAACUUUUUGAUUAUUUAUAAUAUUGAGGUAUUAGAUAAAUCACCUCUCUAUGGCCACCAUUCUUUUUUUUUUCCUCAAUUUUUUGAAUUUUUUUAUUCAUUUCAAUAAUCUAUUAAAUACCUCUAAUGCAUCAUUAACCUACAAUUAAAGAGGAUAAUGAAAAAUUUUAACAUAAAAAAUAUCUUUAUUGUUGCAAUAGAGAAUGAAGAGUUGUAACGGUUGUCAAGAACUUAUUGCAAUCAACCAAUUAAAAAUCUAUAUAAAAAAAAUUAGGGAGAAUAGCACAUAAUCUGAACCAUGUAAUCUGAAGGUAAAUUGACAAAAUAGAAGAAUCUUUGCAAGAGAAGAUGUACUACUCAAGGUAAAUUGAAUUUUUAAAAGCUUCGUUGUCUCAGAUAAAUUGAAUUUUUGAUUUGUUUGUACAUAAAAUUAGGCAGGAAAUCUAUAUAUCUAUAUAUAUAAAAAAGCUAAAUAUAAUCUAGGUGAUGUGACACCUCUCAAUGGCCACGAUUCACAUUUAUUUAUUUUUUCUCAUUUUUUUGAAUUUGCUUAUUUAUUCUCUAUUUAUAUGCUGUAUUAAAAGGUUAAAAAUAACUUUAAAAUUAUAUUUUCUUAAUUACACCUCCCUCAUUUACUCUUCUAUAUUUUCAUAAUUUUUUUCAGUUUAUGAAAUCCAAAGCCAAUCACUAAUCCUCUAAUUAAUAACUCCACCUAAAUGAUUACUCUACAAAAUAAAAGGAUUUUUUUUUAUCUUCCUUGGGAUUAAUUCUCAUCACUUCACCUAUCACUAUACAAGUAUCAGAAAUACAUGCCACAUUUGACAAAAAUGCUAUCAUCUCAAUGAUUUAGGGUGUUAUGGUUAAAUAUUUAUGUUUUAAUAAAAAAAAUAUGUAUAAAUUUUCAUAUUUUACAUGGACUAAUUAGUUUCUAACAUAUAGAGUCCAACUUCUUAUUUUACAUGUAAAUGUUUAAAUGAGCAUGUUAGAGGAGCGCAAGAUGGAUCAAGAUUCGAGACUAAGGAAAGGAGAGCUUCUUAUCAAUAUUAGAGAAGUGAUGCACAUUUUUUUAAAAUCAAUUUUAUUUAUUUAUUUUAUAUUUUUUUCUACAAUUUUAUUUGCUUAUUAUUGUACAAAAAUAAAUAUGUCAGUUAGUAUUUCACCCUCCCAUUUCUUAUAUGUAAAGGAGAAACAUAGAGGAGGUGUCUCUCUUUUUAGGCAUUUUUUCUUAUUUAAUCAAUAUUUUAUUGUAAAGGUAAUUACUUAAUUUAUUGUACACAAAUAUUUUAUUAGUAGAGGAACAAUUAGAACAAAAACUCUCCAUAUGUCUAUUUACAAGGACUAAAAAAUAUCUACAAUUCACAUCUCUCUAAUUUUCACUCUUAAAAAUUUUAAUAUUUUUUUACCUUCUCUGAAUUACAAAAUGACAAUGAUCUUAAUAUUUUAAAUUCAUCUCCUAAUAUUAAAACUUAAUAAUCUUUAUUUUCAUUACUUCUAUAUAAUGUGUUAUGUUUAUAUAAAAAAAAACACUCCUUUAAUUUUCUUAAUUUAUGUUACAUAUGCUAUGUUAGAAAAUUAAUUUUCUUUAACUCUUUUAAUUAUGAGAAAAACUCAAAAGUCCCUUAGUUAAUUAAUAUUUUCCCACGCUAUUCCGUUCAUCCCAUUCAAGCUAAUUGUUGCUCUUAAAUAACCUAUAAAUGGGUUCUUUAAAAUUUCAGUUUUUUUAAAAUCUUUGGUUAUCUAUCAUAAUUAUCUAUUUUAAGACCUUUCUUAACCAUUAUUGUCAUAAUUACAUACUUAUAGUGAAUAUGUAUAGCACCAAAAUGAUGUCUUUCACAUUUUUUAUCCCAAUGUGAUGAGUAACAUAUUUUAUGUAUAACACCAAUAUUCUUCUUAUUGCAUUAUCAUAAUUCAUAUUGUUUAAAAUUUAAUUGUAGGUUUGAUUUAGUUUUCAAAAUUAAAGAUAGACUUGUACGUUUGUAUUACCUUUUCGAACAAAAAAUAAAGAGCAAAAUAAACUUUUUUAUUAUUUAUAAUAUUGAGGUAUUAGAUAAAGAAUAAACAAGAAUGAGGAGUAUGAGAAGAGAACUUCGAAGGUCAGAUUGGGGAGAUUUUUUACUAUCACGCGAAGAAGUUCACUAGUAUAUAUAUAAAGUUGAAUCUAAGCAAUCCUAUGUGGCACCUCUCUAUGACCACCAUUCUUAUUUAUUUUUUUUCUCAAUUUUUUGAAUUUUUUUUUAUUCAUUUCAAUAAUCUAUUAAAUACCUCUAAUGCAUUAUUAACCUACAAUUAAAGAAGAUAAUAAAAAGUUUUAACAUAAAGAAUAUCUUUAUUGUUGCAAUAGAGAAUGAAGAGUUGUAACGGUUGUCAAGAACUUAUUGCAAUCAACCAAUUAAAAAUCUAUAUAAAAAAAACAGGUAGCAUAGCACAUAAUCUGAACCAUGUAAUCUGAAGGUAAAUUGACAAAAUGGAAGAAUCUUUGCAAGAGAAGAUGUACUACUCAAGGUAAAUUGAAUUUUUAAAAGCUUCACUGUCUUAGAUAAAUCGAAUUUUUAAUUUGUUUGUAUAUAAAAUUAGGCAGGAAAUCACAUGAGCGAAAGGUAAAUUAACAAAAUGGAAGAAUUAUUGCAAGAGAAGAUUUCUAACUCCAGGUAAAUUAAAAUUUUGAAAAGAUUUAUUACCUCAAAUAAAUAAAAUUUUUGUUUUGUUUAUACAAAUAACAUUAGGCAGAAGAGCACAUAAUGCACAGGUAAAUUAACAAAAUGGAAGAAUCAUUACAAGAGAAGAUUUACUACUUCAGGUAAAUUCAUUUUGCCUUCUUUUAUAAGUAAAAAUUAUGCAAGAGAUAAAAUAGAGAACUCAUAGCAAAAGAAGGUUUUACUAUCUUAGAUAAAUCGAUUUUUUUGAUUUGUUUGUAUAAAUGAAUUCAUUAGAAUAUACCUGUGUCGAUUUGAUCAUUUUAUGCUAGCAAGAAUUAUUAUAGACAAAUCUAGCAAAACAAGAACGAAAUUCUAUUCAGGAAUUCAAUAUACCGAAGAUCUAAAGACAUCAAAAUAUCCUCUAACAUUCAAUUUGUGAACCGUGAAAAUGAUGCCCACCAUGAAGUAUUAUUUCUCUCAUUCUAAUCUUUUUUAUUUACAAAUAAUGAGUAUAGAGAGUACUGAAAUGUUAUGAAAAGGGAAAAUAAAUUUUUUAUUCUCUUUUAUGACAGUAAAAAAUAUAGAUAAAAGCAAGAAGAUAGUAAUAAAUUGAGUAAAAAGUAAAAGGAAAGUAAAAAAUUAAAAGAACUACCAUAAAAAGAAAACAUGGAAAAGGAAAAAGAAGUUAAAAGAGUUACUUUUUAUUUUACUUUAUACGUAGUCACUUCUCUCUCUUUCUACUUUUUUUAUUUAACAUUUGAAAUAUGAAAUUAUAAAAAUAUAUCAAUUAAACUUAAUAUAUAUAACUACUUAAAAAGUAAUAAGAUUAUAGUUAUAGUAUUUUUUGAAUUUUUUUAACAUAGUACAUAAAUAACAAAAAAAUAUAUGAAGUCAAGAAUAGGAGAAAAAAACUAAUUAUAAUAUUUAGUCAAAGAUAUUUUUUGGCAAAUUUUAUAGAUCAAAAGGAAAAAAAUAAGGAAAGAAUAAAAUUUUCUUGAAUAAUAAUAAAUUAUGAUAAUAAGGAAGAGAGAUGGAUGAGGUUAUAUUUCUUUAAAAAACUUGGACGUCUCAAGUUCGAAACCCCUUGCCAACGAAAGCAAGGGGUUUGCCUUUUGGGUCAAGCUCGUUGCACCGGGCUUGCCUAGUGCGGGUUACCUCUCCUCUGUGGUUUGCGAGCUAUUGCAUAUGAGGCGGGGGUUUUUACCUUGUGCGCACCCAAAGGGUAGUGACUGCGGGUUUCCUUUGUCAUAAAAAAAAAAAUAGAAGAUAGAAAGAGGAAUUUAAGAAAAAAAUAAUAAAUAGUAGUAAUAUGAGGAGAGAGAUAAAUAAGGUAUUUGUUUUUUUAAAAAAAAAUUAAACUGAUUUUAUAGAUCAAAAGAAGAAAUUUUUUGUGAAUAAUAAUAAUAAAUCAUGACAAUAAGGAUAUGUUUAAGGAGGAGAGAUAAUAAGAUUUUUCAUUUAAAAAAACUACUAAAAAACAUUAAAAAAAUAAUUAAAAAAAAUAAUUGUAGUAAUGAUAAGGAGGUAUGGAAGGCAAUAAAUCGUAGUAAUGAUGAGAAGAGAGAAAAAUAAGGUAAAUAUAUUUAUCAUAAUAUAAAGGUGAGUACCAUAAUUAUGUUAAAAAAAUAUUAUAUUAAAUAAGACACUAUUUUAUAAAUGGAUGUUGACAAAAACUCAAAAAAUUGUGCAAUAAUUUUCUAUUUUUUCUUCUAAUUUUCAAUGAAUAAGGUUGUAGAAAAUUUCUCUUUAUUGAAUUUAAGAAUAAAUAAUUAUCACAUUAGCCUUUUAAUUUUUUAUGUUUUCGAUACGUACUUAUCAUAUUCAUAUUUUAGUUUUACUUGAAUAAUAAAAUAAAGGCUAUUGAAUGGUGAUCGACUUGUGUGUAUGGGUGUUGAUAGGAGCUCAAAAUAUUUUUUCAUUGAUUUCGUAUUUUUCCUUCUAAUUUUUAAUGAUUAAGGUUGUAGAAAAUUUCUCUUUAUUUUACACUUUAUAUGAAUCUUAUUGUUAGUAAGUGAUUCACAACUUCGUUCUUCAUUUUGAUGAACUUAUACCAAACAUCUCUAUGAUGAAUUUUUGAAGAAUAUAUCUAUGAUCUUUAUAAGGUCAUACUGUGACACUAUUAAGUAUAUGAUUGAUGAAAAAGCUGAAUAAUUUUUUUUUAAAAGGAGGAAAAAACUAUACUAAAAAAAAAAAAGAAUGAGAAAAUGAAAAUGAACAUUGAACAUCUCCAUAGAUGAUUGAUAUUUGGAAAAAUCACCCCAUAUACACAUUUAAGAGUCAAUAUUACAGGUUUUAAAUCUACUUUUAAAAAAUUCUUGCUUAUAACAGUUUAAUUACGGGUUAUAACAUAUCACUAAUUAUUUAUAAAUUAAUUAAAUUUUACUUUAUUAAAUAAGUAUUUUUUUAUAAUUUUAUAUUACUAUUAAAUUAUUUAAAUAAAGAAUACCCCAUAAUUAUCUCUUACACAAUUAUAUGGAUUUUACAUUGAUUACACUUCCUUAUUUAAUGUUAUACUCAUAACCUCCCAUUAGUCAAUCCCACCACCCUUUCCCCACACAUAUCCAACUAUACACGCUAUCACCCCACUUUCACCUUCUUCUCUCCCAUUUUUCUCACCAGCCAACUACACCAACAUUCAAUCUUUGAAACGCCUGAAAAGAGUCCCAGAUUGGGUGAAGGAACAUCUAAUGAUGAUGUUCAUGUUUCAAAUUUUGAUAUAUUAACUCAAACAACCCCCCCCCCCCUCUCCUCCGCCUAAAAUUGUUGAAAUUAACUAGUUUUAGGUUGUCUAAUUCGGUUGAAAUCUCCCUACAAAACUAUAUAUAAUAUGAUAAUAUGCACUGAACCAAUAUUUUUUUGUAUCAAUUUAUGCUCCGACACCUUUUGAAUUGCAUAUUUUCCUGUUCCAUCAUAAAUUGAUUAUAAUAACAACAAAAUUAUACACACUCGUCAUUAUUUUUUCAUACAAAUAUCAUUCAGACAGUACACUACAAAACAAAUUUCAUACAAAAAACAAUAUUUCACAUUUCAUACUCACUUAAUACACAUUUCAUACAACAAUCAUCAUUCAUACCAAUUUUAUACAUUUCUCAUACCAAAUAAUUCAUUACUCUCACACAAAUUUAUACACAAAUGACAAAACAUAUAUAAUCAAUAAAAUUUCAAAUUUCAUACCAAAUUAAAACACUUUUCAUACAUUUCUUCAAAAAUCUAAAUAACUUUUUUACACAUUAGUGAACACACCAAUUUCAUUACAUUUAUACUACCAAAUUCAUUCAACAUUUUACAUUUAAUUUAUAUUUUCGAAAAAAGAAAACAGUAAUCAAUAUUACAAUUUUACUAUACCUACUUAAUCUACAACGAUAAAACUAUUUAUAUUUUAUACAUUUAUACUCAAAUCUUUCAUAUAUUGCGCCUAUUUCUCACGAAAUCAUGGUUUUGAAAAUAUACAAAUUAAUAAAAAAGAAAAGAAAAAAGAAACCUACCAAAAUGUAUUAUGAACAAAAUUAACAAAAACGUAUUAUGAACAAAAAUUAACAAAAACGAAUUUUGACCAAUUACUAAACAAUAAUAAAUACUAACCUGAAGGAUCCCAUCUUCCACCGUGUUUAAUUAAUAUUGAUACGUAGUUGUCCAUCACAACAAAAUCAAGAUUUUUCAAAGAAAAAAAACUUCAAUUACUCGACAGUGAGAAGAUUUUUGGCAGAAAAUUGAAGAGAGAGAAACGUUGAAUAAAAAAAGAGAGGAUAAAAUCCAAAUUUUUAAUUAAGUUUAACUAAUUUGAGUGAAUUAAGGAAACUAAAUAUUCUUAAUAAGUUUGAAUUCCUUAAUUCGUGACUAAUUAGUAAUUAUCUACACUCAAUUCAAAUUAAAUUAACACCCUUAUUUCUGUUUUUUACCUUUUUGCCUUCAAAAAUGUUUUUUUUAAUCUUUUUUUUUAAAAAAAACAAAUGUUUUCAAUUAUUAAAAAUAACUUCUUUUUUUAAUAAAUUGUUAGAACCUGAAAUUUUUAAUGUUACAACUUGAAAGUUUAAAUCUACUGCUAUAACUUGAAAAUAUUAAUAUAAUAUAUGUCAUUUAUGAAAUUUUUAACUUGAUAUUUAUAGAUUGGGUAAACCAUAAGAAUAGUUAGAAAGAAGUUGAAGAGACAUGUUAUUUAAGUAGAAAAGAUAAUAUAUGGAGGGUUUGAAGAACAUCUCUAUAAUGAAUCUUUGAAAAAUAUAUCUAUGAUCUUUAUAAGGUCAUAUCAUGACAUUAUUAAGUAUAUGAUUGAUGAUUUGAUUAUGAUUAAUCAAAUUGAGUUCCAAUUGCAAUACCCCAAAUGACAAGCUGUUCCUCACUUUCACAUGCAAUCCAAAGUGGCCCGAAAUAAAUGAAAUGCUUCGCUUAAUAGGCCAAUCUGGCGAUGAUAACAGGGUGGACAAAGCGAAUGAUCCAGUUGGCGGGAGAAAAAACAAUUUCAUCUAUAUCUGGCACUGCUUUACUUGGCUUAUCUAGUAGACUGUUUUUAGCUUUCACGUGUCAAGCUCCUAUGUUUUCGAAUAGUAUAACCGAUUAUAUGAUGCUCUUUUCGCUCUUGAAGUAAGAAAAAUAUGUGCUUUACCCCUAGAUGUCCAAUCAACUGCUGCGCCUCAACGCAUUUCGGGGAGAACCAGCUAGCUCUGGGUGCGAGUGGCAUUGCAGCCCUAACCACAACUCACCCGUUGAUUCUUCAACAUCAGUCGAUCGGACCUCCACUUAGUUUCACGGAAUUGAGUUUCUUGUCUGGUGGAUCUGCUCUAUAGUUAGGGGGAAAUACAUACCAAAAGGUUCAAAGAAGGAAGGCGCAUAAGAGUAUAUAACCAACCUACCCUUCUGUAUAACCUAUUCACAUUAGUGAAGCGGUUGGAUGCAUAAGGGAAGUACACGUUUGUGAGACCUUAGUUUGAACUUUGACUCUUAUCUGUAAGUAAGGAGCUGAAAACAAGUCCUUAGAAGGGCCCUCAUUCUCCAUGCAAGCUAGCUCUUACUUGUGUUUAGUGAGGAGGCUACCUAACAAACAGGUGACUGCCCAUAAGCAGAGUGUUCCAAAUCAAGUUAUUCCAACUAAUGCAAGAUCUGAAAAAGCAACAGCCUUUUGGAAAAAUAAUCGCAUGUAAGUUCAAACUUAAACAUACUAACAAAAUGCAUCAGUUAUUAAUUCAAGCGUUUACAUUUUAGUAAAAAAAAUCAAAAUGUAGCUGCAAUGAUAGGAAAUCAACUUUUGAAAGAGCAAUACUUACUCCUAAAAAUGAAAUGGUACAUGAAUUGAAUGAUAUAGCUCAAAAUUAUCUUAGGCACUGUCAUCAUUACCUAAAUCAGUACACAAGAAAAUACAUGUGUAGAAAUAAUUAAAAAUACUAUCAUAAUAUACUUUUCAUAAAUUACGUUUCUCAUGUUGAAAACAAAUGAGAAUGUUGUUUAUAUGGAAAUCGUUGUUACAUUUAUUGCUAUUUCAAGUCCAUAAAAACUAGGACUGAAAGCUCCAUUUUACUUUAUUUUUGUUUUACUUUCCUUCUCUCCCUUCAUUUAGUCAUUUUCCUUACUCAUUUAAAUAUAUAUUUUUUCUUCUGUAACUCCUUUCACAUGGCUUUUUUAAUAAUUAUUCUUCAUCUUUCAUUUGUUUACAUUUUUAUUUGUAAUGUAAAGAUUUUAUAAAAAUAUGCUAACAUAAUUAUUUUUUUUCCCAGAUUCCAUAGGUAGAGAUUUAUGAUUUUGAAUUUGGACCUUUCAAAAAAAGCAGAUGAUACUAUAGAAAAUGGUAAGAUGGAUAUGUUCCAUAUUUAAAUUGCAUAAAUAUGUGUAUUUGAUUACAUAAAUCAAUAUAUUUUCUAACUAUGUAUCCAAAUAUUUUUCAUGAUACGCAGAGGCGGAUCUAGGAUUUGGAAGUCGUGGGUGCCACAUCGUUCAAGUAAGAUAAAAUGGCCGGUUGCUUUAAUUUUGGGUUACAAUUCGGGUUAUUAAUCUUUUUUUCAUUUUUAUAAACAAAUCGAUUAAACAUGCAUGUUAGUAAUAUUUUAUUUUAGAUAUUUCGAGAUUCGAGAUAAUAUACAAUUCAAUUUUUACUUCCUUUUAGGUAUUAGAGGCCUAAUCCACUAAAAUUUGAAGAAAAAAGAGAUUUUUCACACUGAAAUUUGAGCUUGUAUAAACUAUCUAAUAGUAUUAACUUGAUAUAUACAUAUUCUACUGACUUUAUGUGUUGUUGCAUAUAUAUAUAUAUAUAUAGUAGAGAAAGAAUUAAAAUUAUAGUUUCAGCAUUACUUAGCAAGAACGUCGGUGAAGAUCGAAAGAACCUUUAAAAUAAAAAAAACUCUAAUAAUAAUAUUCAUCAAUUUUAAAACUUGUAUUUUUAAAAAAUUACUAUUUAAAUAUAUUCUUAAUAAUAUUUAUGUGAGGUUCAUAAUUCAGUACUCAUUAAUUGAUAAAGAAUAAAGGAGUAACACGAGAUUAAUAAUUAAUGAAAGAGAAAGUUAAAAAAACUAAAAAAUAAUUAUGAAAAGGAGUCAAUUUGAAUUAUUAAAGAAUAGUAAAUAAAUAAGAAUGAAUGGAAGGAAAAAAAAUUAAUGCCUUUCACACAUUAAUGAAAAUGACAAAAAGAAAGAAAAGAAAAGGAAAGAAAAAGCCUCACCUGCGACAAGCCAAAAGAUUAGUGCUUGCAGUGAGGAUCGAACCUGCGUGGGAACUGUGGCCGUUUGUCUCCUUUGCCAAUUGAGCCAUUCACCAUUUCAGACAGUGGGUGGCAAAAUGAAUAUAUAUUGAAUUGUUAUACAUAUAUACAUAUAUACAAAGUUUUUUCCGAGAUCACUGGGUGCUGUGGCACCCCCACCCGUCCACGUAGAUCCGCCCCUGAUGAUAUGUAUCCAGAAUUCAUUGUAAAAGGUAUGAUAUUUUUAUCUUCUCUUGUAUAAUAUGUGACGUCUCUUUAUGACCUUUAUUUGUCUUUAUCUUUCUUUUUUUAAUUUAAACUAAUUAUUUUACUGUAAAAGUGAAAUAUUUAAUUUAUUACAAAUCUAUAUAUAAUUAUAAAGUUAAAUAUAAAAACAGCAACAUAAAAAAGUAGAUGAUACUAUAGAAAAAGGUAAGAUGGAGGUGUUCCAUAUUUAAAUUGCAUAAAUAUGUGUAUUAAUAACAUGAAAAACAUAUUUUCUAAAUAUGUAUCCAGAAUUAAUUGUAAAAGGUAUGAUUUCUUUGUAUUUUCUUGUAUAAUAUGUGACAUUUCUCUAUGACCUUUAUUUGUAUUUAUAAUUUUUUUUAUUUAGACGAAUUAUAUUACUGUAAAAGUGAAAUAUUUAAUUUAUUACAAAUCUAUAUAUAAUAAUAAAUUUGAAUAUAAAACGGUGACGUGACCCUCUGUAAGAGUUUCAAUUCAAUUAAUCUUUUUUGGCCUUUAUUCUAAUUUUAAAUACCAAAAAAUUCACCUAAAAAAUGAAAGACCAUUAAAAGUAAUCAUAUUUAUUUAUGCUUUCAUCAAUAGUUAUAUUUAUUUUAUUUUAUUAUUAAAGCUAUUAUUCUCUUUUUCUAUAAUAUUUCUCAGAUUCUCAUCAAUUAUUACAAUUUUUUCCAUUUGAUUUAAAAAGAAUUCCAACAAUUCACGAUAUUUAAAUUUUAUGAUUUUUAUUUAUUUAUUUUAUAGUUUUUUCCUUUCUUUGCUUUUUUUUUUUACUUUUCUUUUUAUUUAUUCGAUUCAAAAAAUUUAUAUCUUUAUAUAAUAUAAAUGUAUUUCUUUUAUCUACUUUAUUUUUCUUUUUUUAUUUUUCUUUUAAUUUUUAAGUUUUACCUCCAUAACGUAAAUCUAUUAAACUUCAAUUUUUGAUAAUAUCAUUAAUUCUAUGACUUUUAAGUUUUCAUAUUCAAAACCUCCAACUAUUAAAUUAUAAAAUUUAAUAUGAUAUCUCUCCAUUUUUAAUGACAAAAUAAAUUCAGAAGUUUUUUGUUUCAUGAAAUUUAAACUCAAGAUUAUUCUUUAUAUUUCAUUGUUCUUUGUAGUAUUAUUAUAUUAUCAAAUUCAUGCUUUAACUUGACACGAUGAAAAUGACUCUUGAAUGUUGAUUAGUUUGUUAAAGAGGAUGUCGGACAAGAGCUAAAAAAAAUGGCCAUUGAUUUUGUAUUUUUAUUUUUAUCUAUUGUCUUAUGAUUAGGUUCCAAGGAAGAUGUGUAUAUUUUUAUUUUCUCCAUGUAACUUUCUUUUUUUUGGGUGCAAUUUUUGUGGACUAUUAAGCCCUCUUAUUUAUGAAUAAUUUUGACCACUCGGCCACUCUCCCCUUCCCGGGCCGAGGCCCCCCUCAAUGGGUUCUAAUUCUAAGAAGGGGGGUUCAAACUGUAGCCGAGAGUGAGCCGGAUUGAGAAAUGAAAGUGAAAGAGUAAGCAAAAAAAAUGUGAGUGCUCCUGCACUAUACAGACGGCUUUUUGGCACAAACAAAAUUACAAAGCCCAUGUAACUUCUUUAGUUUGAAUUUUUAUAACCUUUUAUUAUUGCAAGUAUGUAUUUUUGUUUAGAUGCAAAUAAAUUAUUGUAACUUUGUUUGUAAUAAUACUAACUACUAGCAAAGGUUAAAAAUACUAUUGCACAAAGAAUUAUUUAUAUUUUUUCUUUAAAGAUUCUUCAUUUUUGUUUAUAUAAGUUCAUAAUUUUUUAUUUCACAAAACCCCUACUUGAGAUUAUCUUUUUUAUUUCAUAUUUGAAAUAACGUUUUCCUUAAUUUUUCUUAAAGUCUUUCUCACAUAACUACUAACAGAGGCGGAUUCAGGAUUUAGAGUCUCUGGGUGCUAAAUAGACUCAUCGACUAAAUUAACUUUAUGUUUGAUUCGAAUUACUCGUCUUUUCGAUUUAUAUGACAAAUCAAUCAAUAAAAUAGAAAUAAACAUAUAUAAAUUUUUUAAAAAGUGUUUCUAGGUUGUUUACGAAAAAUUUAUGGUGGUUCAUAAUGUUCAUUUGUCAAAAAUUAAAUAAAGAUAAAUAUAUUAAAUUUUAAUUUUGAUUUAAAGUAAAAUAAUUACGUAUUUAAAAAAGAGUUAAACUAUGAUAAAUUAAGAUAUCUGUUUUUAACCUCAUACAAAAUCAAUUGUAUUAUUUUUAGGAUAAACAUAAAUAGUUAUUUAAAAUUACUUGUCAAUCAACAAAAUACAAAUAUAAUUAACUAAUUUUUGUUUUUUCUAUUUUUACUUCUCUCCAUUAAUUUAUAGGUUAUUUUUGUUCUCGAAAUUCAAGCUAUAAGGUGUAUUUUUUUUUUUCCUUUUUUAAAAUUAUAUAAACAUGAUAAGAAAUGCAACUAAUAAUGUUUUUGGUUGAAUUGCAACUUAGCAAGAAGGUAAUCUUUAUGAACAUUAUAAGUUGCAAUUCUUAUCAUAUUAAUGUAAUAAUAAUAAAUAUUUUAAAAUAUUAAUUAAAUUUCACAUAGCUUGAAUUCCAAGAAUAAAAAAUAUCAUAUAAAUUGAGAGAGUGUGUAUAUAUGUAGGAGUUUAUGGAUGAUUUUCGAUUUUGGGUUACUUGAAAAUAUAGUACCAAAACUUAUAUAAUUAUUGGUUAAAAUUACUGAUGAUCUUUCUGUUAUAUUUUCUUGUUGGAAUUCUUUGAUGCAUUUAAGUGUUUAUAAAAUUAUUAAGAAGAGGAAAAAUAACAAUUUUAUACCCCUUUCUAUUAGUUAUUAACUUUUUCUUUUACUUCUUUAAGAAAUUAUAUACAAAAAUGAUAGUUUACUAUUUUAAUCUUUCAGAUAAACAUUUUUGCAAUUUUUCACAAAUUUUGUUUACACUUUCGAGAAAAAUUACUUGUUAGGAUAAUGAAAAUAAAAAAAAAUUGUUGAUUAAUUUUGUUAAUUGAUAAAUAAUUUUUAAUAACUAUUUUUAGUAAAAUGUAAAUAAUUAAUAUAGGAUAAAAAAAUAAUAUCUAAUGUUAGGAGUAGGAUGAAUUAGGCUAAAUUUCAUAUUUAUAAAAAUUAUUUAAAGAUAAAGGAAGUAGCAAAUAAUUUGAAACAAUGGUAAAAAAGAAAAAAAAAAGGUAAAGGGUUGAAAAGCUAUUAUGAUUUAUGAGAGGAGCCUUGAACGUGUCAGAAUUUUUAAAAAAGAAAAAAUGUAAAUGUGUCAAGCGGAUUUCGAUUCCAUGACCUGAGACCCAAACAUUCAGCCUUUUACCAUGAGCACCACAUAUUACUUUUGUACUGUGGGUGGCAGGUUCAUUAUUUAUAUAUAGAUUGUGUAUGUAUAUAUAUAGCUAUAAAUAUAAAGUUUCCGUCGAAACUCGUGAGUGGCAUGGCACCCUCACCUGCCUAAAUAGAUCCGCCCCUGAGUAUAAGUGAAGAAAAAAUUAAAAACUAUAUAAUUUAAAAAUCAAUUCUCUAUCUUCAAUCUAUGAUGUUUCACAAAAUUACACAUUAUAUAUAUAAUUAAGCUAAUUAAUACAUAUGUACUGUGUGUAAAUUACACAGAAUGAUCAGUUUUGCUUUUUAUUUUGUUUUCUCAACUCUACUUUUUAAAUCUGUAUACGUCAUAAUUUCCGGCAUAUAAAUACAGUUAUUUUCACUUUAUUAUGGAUGGACCAUGUUCUUCUCUUUUUUCUCAUAUAUUUUUUCUUAAUGAGUUUUGUUUAUCUUUAAGCUGGUUAUAUGACAUUAAACAAUUUAUGUUUAACAAAAACUGAAAAGUACUUUUUCUUCCUUCAUGUAAUAGUAUAUUUUAUUUGUUAAAAAUUAGUUCAAUGUGAAUAAUAAGAAUGAAUUUAAAUUUUUAUCUAUUUAAUUGAAUUUGAACUAAAAACUCUUUUAUAUUCAAAUAAUAUGAAAAAAAUCAUUUAUACUUUUGAUAUAAUAUUUAUGACCGCGCGUAGCGUGGCCAAGUUACCUAGUCAAAUUAUAUAUUUAAAUAUUAAUCUCAUAUCAUGACAAUUUUAAAUCCACACAAAUUUAAUUUUUAAAAUAUUGAAAUCAUACUGUGAAGGUUCUAAACUAUCACAAACUGAUACUAAAAAGCCUCCACAAAUUUAAAAGUCAUUUUACGGGGAGCGUCGUGGAGGUUUACUAAAACCGUUGCAAAUAUGCUCGUAGCAAGGAUAAUUGUAGCGGUUUUAGAAACCGCCACAAUUUAAUUUGUGGGAUCCCUAAACCGUCAUAAAUUGACAAAAUAACCCUUAUAAAUUGAGCAUUUUUUUGUAGUGCUGCCCCGAUACAUAUCUCCAGACGUAUGAAUAAGAAAUUACGUCUUAAAAACUAAAAAGAGAAAAAAAUAUUAUCUAUUUUUUUUUGUAUAAGAUACUUUGGCCAAUAUUUUUUUGUUAAAUGAGUAAUAAGGAUAAAAUUAAAGAAUACGAAUUUAAAAAAUAAAAAUUAAAGAACAUCCCGAAACAGGGUAGUCACUGCAAAAACUUUGAAAUUGUCUCUCUCUUCCGUUUGACCCAGAUACUUGUCUAUUUGGUUGAGUAAUUAAACGAAUUUUUAUGGCUGCAAAUAAGAUCCAAUUGCCACUAGAAGUGACUAUAUCUAUAUUUCACGAGUUAUAUUAUUUAUUUAACCAUAUGAUCAUCAGAAGUGAAACUAAUAACCUCUAUAUUUAAGGCAAAUAACAUUUGGAGGUUAAGAGUCCUUCGGGAUGACUUAGUUGGUUUGGAAGGUGGCCUGGGAUCGAUCCCCCCUCAAUGCCUUCUUAGCCGAGUCUGUCGCAUAGGGCUUGUCUAGUGCUGUUUACAUUGCCUGUGUAGUUUGCAGGCUAUUACACAGUGGGGGGUUUACCCAAUGCUCACCACAGAGUGCUCACCCGAAGGGCAGAGGCUGAUUAUUUAAAGUAUCUGAGUAUAAGGUAAUUCCUGAUUGUAGUUAUAGCAUAAAACUGGAAUCAAAGAUGCAUUAUUGUCAUAAUCUGGUGAUGCAAACUGAGAUGAUCAUAAUAUCUUUCUUUCUAUAUAAAAAUCAGAACUUACUAAAAUAAAAAUUGUUGCAUAAACAAAAAAUAAAUCUUCAUAUGAUUCAUGAACGUAAGUGGAAACAAAUACUUAAGGAAGGUAUGUACCAUUUUCACUUAUCUCGGAUAUAUAUAUCAUCCCAAUUUGAUGUUUCGAUCGAAGCAGCAGAAGAGCUGUCAUCAACAUGACUGAAAUCAUUGAUUUGGUCGCGAUUUGGGAUGGUACUGUGUUCUGCAGGAUCAUCUUGAAUGACAGGCUCUUGGAGAUGAAGUGCAUACUCCAGUUUCCACAGCACAUCACCCAUUGAUGGCCUAUCUACACCAUAAUCAGCUAAGCAUUUCACUGCUGUUUCUCCAAACUUCCUGAGGGAAUCUGGUCUUAUUUUGCCAACAAGAUUGGGAUCUAUAAUUCGUUCCAACUGUCCAUUCUUCUGACACUCCAUUGCCCAAUUAGCUAAGCUGAACAUCUUCCUCGAACGAGAUGAAUCCAUGGCAGGCCUAGCACAAAGAACUUCAAAUAAAACAACACCGAAAGAAUAAACAUCAGAUUUUUCUGUCACCAGACUACUUAAAUAAUAUUCAGGGUCAAGGUAAGCCACAGUUCCCUUUACGAUUGUGGUAACACGGGUUUGAUCAGGCUCAGUCCCUUUCUUGGAUAUUCCAAAAUCACUAAUUUUUGCCACAAAAUUCUCAUCAAGCAAUAUGUUUAAAGACUUGACAUCACGAUGUAUAACUGCGUUAGUAUGAAGGUAGUGCAGACCUCUGGCUGCCCCGAUGCAUAUCUCCAGCCUCUGCUCCCAGCUCAUACUAGGUAGAUCUGACCCAUACAAAUGAUUCCUGAGGUUCCCAUUCUCCAUGUACUCAUAAAUUAGAAUCAUCUCAUUAUUUUCAUCACAGUAUCCAAUCAAUGAAACCAGAUGUGGAUGGCAGAACUUUGAGAGAAUCUCAAUUUCUGUUUGGAACUCUUGAAGACCUUGAUUGGAUUCAGGCGUAUACCUUUUCAAGGCGACCUUUGUUCCAUCACACAAAAGCACCCUGUAAAUCUUCCCAAAUCCACCCACUCCAAUGACCAAACUCUCAUCAAAGUUGUUAGUUGCUUCCUGCAAAGCUACAAAAGGAACUCGAAAACUUUCAAAAGGAACGUGAUAACUCAUCGUAUCAGUUACGUAAGUUGUUGCCUUGGAAUACUUGGUUCCCAUGGUGGAGUGCAACUAGUAUUUGACUGGGCAAACUGCUCCUGUUUUGUUGAGCAAAAUCGGAAACUCACAACUAAAUCUCGUGAUCGGAAGACUUCACUGUCUCAAAGUUGCAAACAAAUGGUAUAACAGAAGAAAAAAUGAACUCCUAACAGUAAGCAUGUAGAUGAAAAUCACAAAUAUAUGUAUACAAAACAGAAGCUUGAGGAACCUCUGAUUAUACCACAACUGAGGAAAUUUGGAGAGAAGACAGAGAGAUUGAUAGUUAUUGUGGAAGAGAGAAUCGAAAAGAAAAUUACCUCUUCACUAAUGGAUUUGGGCAAUACUUGCGUAUAUUAUAUGUAUUAAGUAAAUUACUUAGUCAAAUAGCUUAGUCAUGAUGUUCAGUAAUAUUUGUUUACAAAAAUAUUACUCAAUAAUGGUUAUAUAUUAUCUUAAAAUGUCAUUCAACUUUAUUUUUUAAUAGGAAAGUUGCUAUACAAUUGUCAUUUUGUAAACAGAUCGAAUAUUAUAUGUAAACAGAUUGAGUAAUAUUUUGAAUUGCUCCGCGAACUUUUAAGAUCUGCAGUUCCAUUCUGAAAGCUGAAUAUAUAUAUAUAUAUAUAUUUUAUAUGACUAUGUCAAAGCAGCAAACUUCCUUUUGCCUCUUUACAAUAAGAAAGUGUAUGAAGAACUUAAAAAAAACCAUAUACAAUUAAUAUGUGUAACUGCCGGACACACCUAAUAAAAUGAAAGAAGGAUCCACAGGUAGAGCAUUUCAAGUUUUCAAAGUUAACUUUCUAUAUAAAACUCAGAAGACUUACAAAAACAAAAAUAUAUCUUUAUAUGAUCCACCAACAAAAGUGGAAUUAACAAACACCUGAGGAUGGUAUGCACCAUUUUCACUUAGUUAUCAACCAUCAGACUUGAUCAAUUUCUAGAAACCAGCAGCACAGAGAUCAUCCGAAUUUGAUGAGAUCAUCCAGAUCUGAGCAUCAAAUGACUGAAAUCAUAGACUUGAAGUCAGGGGCAGAGCUACUCUUGCCCGAGGGGUGUCAAGCAGCACUCCUUUGCUGGAAAAUUACAUUAUAUAUAGGUUAAUUUUGCUUUAAUAAAUAUAUAUACUAGUGUUACACCAAUCACUUUUUUUUCUUUCUAAACAACUAAAACGACAUGCACAUUACAGCCUUUCUCGUGCAUUUAUUUCUUUAUAUUUUGAUAACCCUUAAUGAAAAUCCUAGCUCCACCACUGCUUGCAGUCAAGAUCAUCUUAAAUAACAGACUCUUGGAGUGCAUACUCCAGUUUCCACAACACUUCACCCAUUGAUGGCCUAUCUUCACUAGACAAAGCUAAACAUUUCACCGCUGUUUCACCAAAUUUCCUGAGGGACUCUGGUCUUAUUUUGGCUGCAAGAUCGGGAUCAAUAAUUUGUUCCAACUGUCCCUUAUUAUGCGACUCCACUGCCCAUUCAGCUAAACUCACCAUCUCCCUUGGAAGAGAUUGAACUAUGGCAGGCCUAGCACAAAGAACUUCAAAUAAAACAACACCGAAAGAAUAGACAUCAGAUUUUUCUGUCAGUUGUCCCCUUAAAAAAUAUUCAGGGUCAAGGUAGCCGAUAGUUCCUUGCACCAGGGUGCUAAGAUGGGUUUGAUCAAGCUCAGUCCCUUUCUUGGAUACUCCAAAGUCAGUAAUUUUUGCCACAAAAUUCUCAUCAAGUAAUAUGUUGAUAGACUUGACAUCACGAUGUAUAACUGCGCUGGUAUGAAGGUAGUGCAGACCUCUUGCUGCCCCGAUGCAUAUCUCCAGCCUCUGCUCCCAGCUCAUAGUGGGUAGAUCUGAGCCAUACAAAUGGCUCCUGAGGUUCCCAUUCUCAAUGUAGUCAUAAACUAGAAUCAUCUCAUUUCUUUCAUCACAGUAUCCUAUCAAUGAAACCAAAUGCGGAUGGCUGCAAAAAGAGAGAAUCUCAAUUUCUGUUUGGAACUCUUCAAUACCUUGUGAGGACUCACGCUUAUACCUCUUCAGGGCCACCUUUGUUCCAUCACGCAAAACACCCCUGUAAACUUUCCCAAAGCCACCCAACCCAAUGUGAAACUUCUCAUCAAAGUUGUUAGUUGCUUCCUGCAAAUCUACAAAAGGAACACGACGACAACUCGAGUUUAAAUCAUCAUUUAUGGAAUUUAUUGCCUUGGAAUACUUGCUUCCCAAGGUUGAGUGCUACUAAUAACCUUCAAAUAACAUUAUUUAAGCUAUCACUGAGCAUAAGGUAAUUUCUGAUUGUGUUUUUUGUAGAAUAAAUCUGGAAACAGAGAUGCAUUAAUUUAUC